rnacentral:rRNA from 1 species
UACAGAGGUGGCAAGCGUUGUUCGGAAUUACUGGGCGUAAAGGGCGCGUAGGCGGCCUUCUAAGUCAGACGUGAAAUCCCCCGGCUUAACCUGGGAACUGCGUCUGAUACUGGGAGGCUUGAGUAUGGGAGAGGGAUGUAGAAUUCCAGGUGUAGCGGUGAAAUGCGUAGAUAUCUGGAGGAAUACCGGUGGCGAAGGCGGCAUCCUGAACCAUAACUGACGCUGAGGCGCGAAAGCUAGGGGAGCAAACGGG